AACGCAAGUUGCGCCCGAGGCCUUUUGGCCGAGGGCAUGCCUGCCUGGGCGUCACGCCAAACACGCUCCCACCCAACUAAACAUGGUGUGGGAUGCGGCAUGUGGCUCCCCGUCUCGCAAGGGGCGGUGGGCCGAAGAUCCGGCUGCCGGCGUAUCGUGCCGGACACAGCGCGUGGUAGGCGAUCUCGCUAUACUAAACGCAGUGCAUCCGGGGUGUAGCCGACGCAAUGCCCUCAUGGACCCUCACAACGGAGCGCACGACGCUUCUACCGCGACCCCAGGUCAGGCGGGACUACCCGCUGAAUUUAA
rnacentral:misc_RNA from 1 species